rnacentral:rRNA from 1 species
GAUGAACGCUAGCGGAAGGCAUAAUGCAUGCAAGUCGAACGGAUGUAGCAAUACAUUAGUGGCGCACGGGUGCGUAACGCGUAUGCAACCUACCUUCAUCAGGGGGAUAACUACUCGAAAGGGUGGCUAACACCGCAUAAUACUACUGAAUGGCAUCAUUUGGUAUUUAAAUCUGAGGAGGAUGAAGAUGGGCAUGCGUCUGAUUAGCUAGUUGGUGUGGUAACGGCGCACCAAGGCGACGAUCAGUAGGGGAACUGAGAGGUUGGUCCCCCACACUGGCAGUGAGAUACGGGCCAGACUCCUACGGGAGGCAGCAGUAGGGAAUAUUGGUCAAUGGUGGGAACACUGAACCAGCCAUUCCGCGUGCAGGAAGAAGGGUCUCUGACUUGUAAACUGCUUUAGCAAGGGAAGAAAAAGCUCAUGCGUGAGAAAUUGACGGUACCUUGAGAAUAAGCACCGGCUAACUACGUGCCAGCCGCCGCCGUAA